ACAGCUGAGGACGCGGCGCGGCGAGGAAGGACGCUGGUGAAGGACUCUCGAAUCCUGCAUAUCCUUCGUCAGUAGGAGUCUGUGGGAUAGCGAAGGAUACACGGCCUUAGGAUGGAGAGGUGUGUUGGUGUGAGGGGGGGGGGGAGGAAGGAGUUACCUGGCCUGUCACCUCACCUGGAUUCCACCUGGUGAUUAGGCUGACGGAGCAGCAGCAGCAGGAGGAAAGGAUAGAUAGAGAGGCAGAGAUGACGAACCUGAGCUAAGCAGUGAAGCAACAGACGUGGAUAACAAGAUAGCAGCGAUGCGUGGAAGUGAACGAAGACAUGUUAGGAAGUUAAGGUCAGGAGGAAGAAAAGCAGAAUAAAAGCGAAGACAAAAGACGAGAAGUAGGAAGUUGAAAAGGCGACGAGGAAGAGAUUAGAUAGAUACGUAGAGAGAAGUGAUGACGAGGAGAAUAGCAGACGUGGUUAUGGAGAAGAAAUACGAAGAAAAAAGGUGAAAAAGCAAUAAAAUAAGAAUUGGUAAGUGAAAUUCUCUCUCUCUCUCCACAGCCCCACAGUAUGUUUCCGAACCACAGUCACUCACCACAGCCCCUCCCUUCAAUAAACACACACCACACACCCACACCUCCCCACAGUAUGUCUACGUACCACAGUCACUCGCCACAAAAAUAAAACAGCAAUUCCUAGAGAAAGAGAAAAGGGAAGGAAAAGUGCUAAAGUAAUGAAACGAAGACUUAAGAGGAUGUAAGAGAAUGGAGGAGGAGGAGGGAGAAGAGGAGUGAUGGCAGGGUAUCGUGUCAUAGUCUCACUCAUCAAGCCAGGUGUUGCAAGACCUCACCUUCACCUGUCAUCAUCACUUACACACCUUGACAUCACCACCAUCACCACUGCUCACCUGAAAUCCUCGCAGGUGUGGCCACUUUCCUCCAGGUAAAGUUAAUAAUACAAGAACACCUGUAAGUAAAUGAUUAAUAAAAGAUAAAAUUACGUUUAUUUGUCUUCCUUUCCAAGUUAUGGUACAAAAAACUUACAGUACAAGUAGCUGGCUGGAUGCAGAACGGUGGAGAAGCAUUGGUUUUGAAUUGUUUAGUCAAUCAAGCCUAUUUGAAGUAAAAGUGACACCUAGGUUAUAUUUCCUUAUCUAAUCUAAUACAUUAAUGACUAUACCUUUUCUUUACGAAGGUGUGAGAGGAGGGACCUGCCCAAUAAUGAUUACGUUGUGAUGUUACCGACACGGGAUGUUCUUAUAAGUAACACCAGUGGCUUGGCUUGUCUUGUCUUGGCUUGGCUUGGCUUGGUGUUCACUGUUCUCUUGUUCUUGUAGCCACAGUCUCACGUUCUCAUUAUUUCUUUUGUCCCUGUUUUUUAGUACACACACGAGUAUACUUGAAAAACACUGCGAGUCAAACAAAGUGAACUCGAAUAAACGUCAACCCGACACGUAACGAAGACAUUGUUAUCGUUAGUGGUUCGUGGAAAGGAAACGUGACUACUUGUAACAGAAAAGAUGUUGCCUUGAGGCGCAGGACAGUAGGACAGUCAUGAUCGGCUUCAUAUCAACCAUCGAUAAUUACUUGUUUGUAAAACCUGAAGUUGUUACAAUCAUUAAAUUUUUAAGAAGCUAGCUAAGAAAAAUUAAAUACUUAAAUAACUUAAAUAACUAACUAAACCUUUUUACAGUUUUGGUUGGAGCUGAAACUAAAACGUUGCGUGCUACAAAUAAUUGGAGGUCUUACAAAGUUAGCCAGGGAAAUAGAAGCUUAAAAAUAUAAACGUAAGUUACACCUACAAGAAUAUAAUAAAAACUAACAAAAAAAAAAAAAAAAAAAAUGCAACUUUACGCUUUUCACAAUAAUUUACAACGAAGUGACAAAAAUGAUUGAAUUCUUUAAUAAUAAUACUAGAAGCUAUUCACGAAAAAGAAAACGGUUACAAAGAAAAGAAAAAAGUAACUUAACACCUUUGACGGUAACUGUUGGCGGAACCACCACCACCACCACCAACCACCACCACUUGCCUCAGACCUCAACACAGGAGCCCCGGGAAGAAAGGAGGACGAUGUUAAAAAAGCGAGCAAAGUGACACACAUAACAAACUGGUUAUAGUCCAUUUGUACAGGUGAUGACCACGAUUACGAAGCUCCUUUAAUUAACACAGGUGAGGUGACGCCUUCACCUUCACACAACUAAAACACUACACCGAGUUUCUAUUUUCUUUUUUUUUCGGCAGUUCGUACUAACUUGGUGGAUGAAUUCUCGCCACUCCACGCUGCGACACUAAUCAUUUUGGCUCAUUAAUGCCCGGAUGAAGAAUAAAAAAAAGAGAGAGAGGAGUGAGCGAUCUAAAGAAAAAAAGUGAGCGAUCUACUUGAAAAAAAAAGUGAUCUACUUGAAAAAAAAGAAGAAAAAGAGCGAUCAACUUGAAAAAAAAGUGAGCGAUCUACUUGAAAAAAAAAAGUGAGCGAUCUACUUGAAAAAAGAAAAGAAAAGAGGAAGUCAGCCAUCUAUUUGGAAAAAAGGAAAAAAGUUGUGAUCGAUCUACUUGCACACUCACAAAUUCUCAGAAAGGAAAGAGGAAUUUAAAUGAAGAAAAAUGCGAGUUUGUUGAAUAAAUGAGAAAACGAAAAUGGAAAAUAAGAAAAGAAAGUGGGAGUUCCUUAAUGAAAAUGAAGGAAAUAAGAGGAAAAUGUGAAGCAGAAAACGCGAUUUGGUUAAUGCAGACAAAACUAUGAAGAACAAAAGAAAAGAAAUGCAAAACAAAGAAAAAAAAAGAAUGAAGCAUAAAAAUACGAUACAAAACGAGCUAGUCCACCAAAUUAGUCUGAACGAUCCAAAGAGAGUCAAGCCAACACGCUCCACACACGGUCGCCACACGCUCACCUCGCAGCCUUCAGUACAAAACACACACAGAUCGGCUUUCAAACGCUCGUGAAAAGGAGUCUCAAAUUCUUAUCUACCCAGCACUGCCUCAGGUGACCCGCGCCCCGCCCCAGACACAGCUAUACACACCCACUGCCCACGAAGGUCCAGAGAAACACUGUGCUGUAGUUUGAAGUAACACUAAUUCCCCUCUUGGUCAUGGGGUUGUUCAGUAAAGCUCGGCGCCACGACACUGAGGUUAUAGAGCGCCGGGACAACUGAACUGUUAAAUUGCAAUGGGAAAUGUUGGGUUCGCUGGCUAAAUGAGAAAGGAAAUUGGAGGUACAAAAUGAAGAGUUAAUCAAAAUUACAGGAAAAAUGGAAUUAAACAGAAAAUAUGAGUUCACUGAUGCAAAAUUGAGAGAGAGAGAGAGAGAGAGAGAGAGAGAGAGAGAGAGAGAGAGAGAGAGAGAGGGAGAGAGAGAGAGAGAGAGAGAGAGAGAGAGAGAGAGAGAGAGAGAGAGAGAGAG
rnacentral:lncRNA from 1 species